GAUGAACGCUGGCGGCGUGCCUAAUACAUGCAAGUCGAGCGAACGGACGAGAAGCUUGCUUCUCUGAUGUUAGCGGCGGACGGGUGAGUAACACGUGGAUAACCUACCUAUAAGACUGGGAUAACUUCGGGAAACCGGGGCUAAUACCGGAUAAUAUUUUGAACCGCAUGGUUCAAAAGUGAAAGACGGUCUUGCUGUCACUUAUAGAUGGAUCCGCGCUGCAUUAGCUAGUUGGUAAGGUAACGGCUUACCAAGGCAACGAUGCAUAGCCGACCUGAGAGGGUGAUCGGCCUCACUGUAACUGAGACACGGUCCAGACUCCUACGGGAGGCAGCAGUAGGGAAUCUUCCGCAAUGGGCGAAAGCCUGACGGAGCAACGCCGCGUGAGUGAUGAAGGUCUUCGGAUCGUAAAACUCUGUUAUUAGGGAAGAACAUAUGUGUAAGUAACUGUGCACAUCUUGACGGUACCUAAUCAGAAAGCCACGGCUAACUACGUG
rnacentral:rRNA from 1 species